rnacentral:lncRNA from 1 species
UAUAACAUGAUUGGCAUUGCAAGACAAGAGUGCUGCACAAUACAGCCUUCUACAACUUUUUUUUUCGUUCGUGUUUGUUACUAUAUAGGUUCAGGCCUGAAUUUGUUCAGCGAGUAGCAGCAAGCGGACGGACUGUGGUGAGCGUUGGGGCUGCAUCACCCGUGACGGCCUCGGACCCCUCGUUGAUACGACUGCUU